UACGGAGGGUGCAAGCGUUAAUCGGAAUUACUGGGCGUAAAGCGUGCGCAGGCGGUUUGUUAAGUCCGUUGUGAAAGCCCCGAGCUCAACUUGGGAAUUGCAGUGGAUACUGGCAGGCUGGAGUACGGUAGAGGAAGGUGGAAUUCCCGGUGUAGCAGUGAAAUGCGUAGAGAUCGGGAAGAACAUCAGUGGCGAAGGCGGCCUGCUGGGCUGUUGCUGACGCUGAGGCGCGACAGCGUGGGGAGCAAACAGG
rnacentral:rRNA from 1 species